rnacentral:rRNA from 1 species
CACAAGCGGUGGAGCAUGUGGUUUAAUUCGAUGCAACGCGAAGAACCUUUACCUGGUCUUGACAUCCACGGAAGUUUUCAGAGAUGAGAUGUGCCUUCGGGAACCGUGAGACAGGUGCUGCAUGGCUGUCGUCAGCUCGUGUUGUGAAAUGUUGGGUUAAGUCCCGCAACGAGCGCAACCCUUAUCCUUUGUUGCCAGCGGUCCGGCCGGGAACUCAAAGGAGACUGCCAGUGAUAAACUGGAGGAAGGUGGGAUGACGUCAAGUCAUCAUGGCCCUUACGACCAGGGCUACACACGUGCUACAAUGGCGCAUACAAAGAGAAGCGACCUCGCGAGAGCAAGCGGACCUCAUAAAGUGCGUCGUAGUCCGGAUUGGAGUCUGCAACUCGACUCCAUGAAGUCGGAAUCGCUAGUAAUCGUGGAUCAGAAUGCCACGGUGAAUACGUUCCCGGGCCUU